UCGUUCGUUCGUGAAGAUAGCACCUAGAACCGUGUCGCGUAAAAGAUGACUUAGGACUUGCAGCCUAUAAGAGACGUACUGGUCAUUUCUUAACUGAUAAUUUAAAAGAGAAUAGGGUGGUAAAAUCGAAACAACUACUGAAGCGGUACGCAAAGGGAGAUUAUAGAAAAUUUUUGCUUACGGAUGAGAAAAUUUUUACAAUUGAGCAACAUUUUAACAAAUAAAAUGACCGUAUUUAUGUUCAAAGCUCUAAGGAAGCUUCCCAAUUAGUCGACAGAGUGCAACGUGGGCACUAUCCGACUUCAGUGAUGGUUUGGUGGGGUAUUAGCUAUGAAGGAGUGACUGAGCCAUACUUUUGUGAAAACGGUAUCAAAACAUCGGCACAAGUGUAUCAAGAUACCAUUCUUGAGAAGGUAGUGAAGCCCCUUAACAACACCAUGUUCAAUAAUCAAGAAUCGUCCUUCCAGCAAGACUCGGCGCCAGGUCAUAAAGCUCGGUCUACGCAGUCUUGGUUGGAAACGAACGUUUCGGACUUCAUCAGAGCUGAAGACUGGCCGUCGUCUGGUCCCGAUCUUAAUCCGCUGGAUUAUGAUUUAUAAAAAGUUCUCCCUCUUUAUACCGCGUAAGCUGAGUGAGCCCCAUGCUUUGGAGUGAGAUAAAAUGUUCAAACUAUUUUCACACUGAAUUUCGUUAAAAUCGGUUCAAUAGUUUGAUCGCGAGAACAACAGAGUAAAUUUCGUAUUGGUACAAUUAAUAAAUAAAUCAGUAUGGAUUAGGGAGUAUUAAAUUCACGAAUAUAAAAAUUCAAAUAAAUCAACAAAACUGCUCAUUGAAAAAUAUACGAAAGAAACGACUUAAAUAAAUUGUUAAGUUUUGUCUAAAUAAAAAAAUGGCGAACUAAUUCAUUUUCCGCGGGGGGUCUCCUUCCUGACACAAACACGCUGGACAUCGUGGCAUACGUAAUAAAAAGAUCGCCUUUUUACAAAACGAACCAUUCCUACAGAAAAAUCGUCCUAAUUUAUACUCCUUGUCGUUUUAAGUUGGUUUUUUAUUAAUCUCAACAAGAACUUCUCAGCAAGAACAGAAACUCAUACUCAGACAUCUUUUAUAUUAAAAAAAAUCGAUAAUCUGCAAUCCUUUUCAAUUCUUUGAAUUUCGGAAGCUCGUGGAGGGCCUUGCAUAGGAGAAGCAAGGCGAUGUUAAUUCUUAUAAUUGCCUUCUUUAUGUGUGUUGAGACCGGAAAGAAGACCCACGUCAAGGCAUCGCGCCUUCAAUAAGGAUUUGUAGUGGCAAAAUGAUUUAGGAAUAUUUAUGUGUCGCCAUUUAAAGGAGCAUUAUCCGCUGCAGACACUCUGUCGCCAAAUUUUUGUAAACCAUUUAUGUUCUGUGAUUUGAGUUUUAUUCAUUAAAGUUAUUCAUGACUACUGCAGUAGUUUUUCAAACUGUUCAUAAUACAGUUCUGAUUCGCAACUAGUAGAUGUUGUUUUGAUAUGAAUUGAUUUUAUCUUUUAAUUUUAAGUGCCUGCUUUUAUACAACACAAUGACGAUAAUGGUGCGUGAUAACAAUAAAUUACUAUCAGUUUGUAUUGUUUGAUAA